rnacentral:lncRNA from 1 species
CGGGGUGUAUGUUAAUUUUGUAGCCAAAUGUUUGAUAUAUGUUGAUACUGUUGAUAUUUGUUGAUAUCCUAAUUAGAAGUAAGUAUUCAGAUUUUAUGGGGAUGAAAUGGUGGUUAGUUUUGAUGUUUACUUUAGAAGUAUUUACUGGUUAGUUUUGAUAUUUACUUUAGAAGUAUUUAUUUAACAUUUACCAAAAAAAGUAUUUAUUGGUUAGUUUUUACUUACGUGAGUUCAUUUGGGGUGAAUUAUAAUUAUUUGAACUCCUAUUUGUUUUUUUUUUUUGAAACUUUGCUAACUCCUAUUUGUUUGUAAGACAAUUGUACUUGUUGUGAUUUUUGCGUGGUCUGAUUCUAUUUUAUUUUCUAAAAAAAAAAUAGUAAAUAGAAAGUGUUUAUUUAGGGAUUGCAUUUAUUUGGUAUUUUGAAAUAGAAAAUAAAAAAACUUUACAAAUAAUCAAAAUAAUAUAUAUAAUUAU